UAGUGCAGUACGUCCACAUGGAGCUGAAAAACAUAGCUUUUGUGUUCCAAGGAGUCCCUUAAAUUGAAGCAAAUUUAAACUAGGCUGCAAGAAAACCAGCAUAACUAACAAUCUGUAGACUAUUGGAGGACAUCAGCUGCAAAUAAGAUAUAAGAUUGAUAUAUUGUUUCAGAAUAAUGUAAAAGUACAUAAAGGGGGCUUCCCUGGUGGUGCAGUGGUUAAGAAUCUGCC